GGGGCCGACCGGUUUUGACAGCGAGACCAAUGGCAAUGUAAGCAUGUCGAGCUAUGGGAAUGAUGCUCGUUAAUACAAUAUCCCACACUUUUAAAUGGCGAGUCUAACUACGCUCUUGCCGCGUAAUCUGAAUCAAAGUAAGAUUAUGCCACGUCUCUGCUAGGCAGAGAAGCGAGAUGUCCUCUAGUAGCCCUUGUUGACGGCGACUAAUUUUUGGGCACCAUAAAAGUCAACACCGGACCACCACGGCUUCGAUGGUGGUUCUAAACUAAAGAAGCUAAGCGUACGAUAGGCGGUUUUGGGUCGGUCGUGCGUCGACAAUCAAUUCAAGACUAAACAUGUAGAAAGCUUUGUUAUUGCUUGUUUGGACGAGGGUUCGAAUCCCUCCGGCUCCACUU
rnacentral:tmRNA from 1 species